AAACCCUAAUUCCUUAAUCGCCUACCCUAAUUUACUCCGAAAUCAAGAAAUCGCCGCUCUUCUUCCCACAUUCAACGGCACCACAUCCAUCUUCUGAUGAUUAUAUGCGUGGAAGGGUUUAUCUUUUCUUCACAUAGCCAAGAAAACCCUAUCAUCCAUCUCUUUCGCCAUUCCCUUUCAUCGAUCUACCAGAGAAUCAUUAUCAAUAGGGGAGAUUCUUUCUUUUCUAAAACCCUAGAUAUGAAAUUCAUUUUCUUUCUGAUCUACUCAUCUUCGAUCCAGAAGAUUCAAACUUCAAUCAUCAGGCAUGUUUUUAAAUAAUUAUUUUAUGAUACCAUAUAGAUGUCCUGAGUUUUUUCGGCCGAAGAAAAUCAUAAGUUGUUUUGUAGAUUUAAGAUUUAUAUGUUCUGGUCAAACAGUCCUCCUGACUGCAUCAGCUAUGGUAGUUUCCCUUUUGUAGCAUAAAAAGCAAGUUACCAUUCUAAGAGAUUGGUGAACAAAUGUGCUUUGUGGUUUUGCAUCUUUUUAAAUUGAAGACUGAAGUCCUUCGUGUGGGGCAAAUACAGGAGGCGUCAUCCAGCUUAGCCCACCAUCAUUCUUUAUCUGAAAAUGCAUGCUUUUCAACAAGUUUUUGGAUCUCGGGUUGAUGAUGCUCUUUUUGUCAUGUUCUUUGGAUACUUGGAAAUACUGCACGGAGGCAUUGGGGAAGGAUAAAGUUCAGAGUGGCGAUGUGAUUGCAUUUGAUAAGGAUUCGGGGAAAAUAACAAAACUUGGGAGGUCGUUUUCGAGGUCUGGAGAUUAUAUGAUGCAAUGGGGCCGUAAACGAAGUUCGCGCAAUGGCUUGAUGUUGAGCUGCAGAAGAGGAAAGAGGUGAUCGAUUGUGUUACACUUCAUGAAAUUGGUGUGUUUUUAAAAACAGGAACCAAAGGACAUUUCGUCCAAAGAAAAGUACACCUUCGGAGGGUUAAAAGCAAUAAACUUCGUUAUCCGAAAGCCAAAUGAAGGUGGUUUCACUUUUAAAUUUUGACCUUUGACUUUUGAUUUUUGGUUUUUGGUUUUUAGCUGUGGAUUUCUUCAAUCAAGUGAGUCUUCUUUAUGCACCCUAACCGAGUUCUGUACACCUGAGAUUUGCCCAACUAUGACUGCGGGUCCCAAGUAUGACUAUCGAUGGCUCAUGGUGUGCAAAUCAAGAAACCAAUUGAAGCUUUGGCUCCACAGUACAUUGAGUUUUUGAUGGAUUGGAUUGAAUCACACUUAGAUGAUGAAUCCAUAUUUCCUCUAAGGCUUGGUAAUUCCUUGGAUUGAACCAAGUCAAAAUGGGUUUGAUUUUAAUUGUGUCAUUUUUUAAAAUACAUUCUUGAACGGGGCCAGAUCAUAGUUGGUAAUAGUGCUCAUAGCAGGCUCUAUCCAAAAGGUACAUGUUUCAACUGUGAAUUUGUAUAUCAAAUUUAUUUUCGUGUUUACUUUUACAACUUUCUUUACUGUUACAAUUUGAGUUAGCGAUGGUGGUUUGGUUCUUUUGGUACGGGUGUUCACCAUUUGGUUUCAAACCAUGAAAUCGCCCAAAUUGGUUAUCGGUUUGGUUUCGCAAUCGGCCUUUUUAUUUAAUUUUGGUUGAUCGGUUUCAAAAUUUCAAACCAUAACGUACAGUUUGGCUUACGGUUUAUAUAAAAAACUGGCUGUAUAAAACCGGACUGGACCGUGAUAUCUAAUAAUUUAUUUUUGAUUUUUAGAUAUUUCAUAUUAUAAUUAUUUAAUUUUUGUCUAAAAUAAGAUUAAACUUAACUGGAUGAACAUUGAGGUGGUUUUUUUGAAGCUUCUGUAUAAUAUACCAGACACCAUACGCCUUUUGUAAACUUCUUUUUUAUGUGUUCUGUUUUAAACUUAUAAUAUGCAGUCUGCAUAUAUUUUUUACUUCAGUUGUUUUGGACGGUAGAUGUUUUCUUAAAAACACAUCUAUGUACUUUGGCUACAUGUUUAAAGAAGCUUGUAUUUUAGACAACUCCAUUGAAUUACAAAAAUCUAUUUUCGCAGUUUUUAUUUAUAUAUUAUACCAGUGCAAAUUUGAUGAAUAGAAGCAAUGGAGAUGCUUUAAGAGGUUCUGGUGUUGUGAGAUCGUUUGACAAUAUGGAUGUAAAUGCACAAUCUGCUGGCGCUAUACAUGGGAGAGAUGCCAUAUAAAAAAACUUUUAAAAGUUCGAGGUGCCUGAUUUUGAUUGGAGAGAUAAGAUGCCGGAGUGCCCGGUUAUUAUCCAGGUAAGGAACAGUUUGAGGACCCUUUGGCGUACUUGCAAAAGAUUGCCCUAAUUGCUUGGAAAUAUGGUAUAUGCAAGAUUGUUUCGCCUUUGAGUGCUUCUAUUCUCACAAGCGUGGUUUUUAUGAAAGAGAAAGCUGGCUUUAGGUUUAUAGCUAUAGUGCAACCUCUUCGUCUUAACAAAUGUUGCAGAACCGGUGAAGACGGCAAAAAAGAUCCCGAGCCAGAAAUUCACAGAGCUUUCUGGAAACAAUAUUUUCAAAGGUGACGAGGUGCCAGCAUCGGCAAACCACUGAGCUCAGCAAAGCUUUGAGAAAUGAGUGGAAGUAACAUCUUUGCUGACGGAAAAGCGGAAUCUAGAGACUAUCUAGGGGCUCGCAAGCCGCCAGGUGGAGAUAGUAGCAUUGCUUUGGUUUAGGUUCUAACACAUUUGUUUUCAGUAUCAUUGUUUAUUUUUCAUGUCUUUGGUAGUUGGUACUUGGUGGUGCUAUUCAUAUGGAUUUGACUGUGCGUUUGUGGCUCUUUAUCAUCUGUUUUUCUUAGCGUAUAUUAUAGUUUAUGGACCCAAUAUGUGUUCUUUUGGCUAA